rnacentral:rRNA from 1 species
CAGUCGCCGCGGUAAUACGUAGGGUGCAAGCGUUGUCCGGAAUUAUUGGGCGUAAAGGGCUCGCAGGCGGUUCCUUAAGUCUGAUGUGAAAGCCCCCGGCUCAACCGGGGAGGGUCAUUGGAAACUGGGAAACUUGAGUGCAGAAGAGGAGAGUGGAAUUCCACGUGUAGCGGUGAAAUGCGUAGAGAUGUGGAGGAACACCAGUGGCGAAGGCGACUCUCUGGUCUGUAACUGACGCUGAGGAGCGAAAGCGUGGGGAGCGAACAGGAUUAGAUACCCCCGUAGUCCCUGUCUCUUAUAC